UCCGAGUUGACCCCGGCAGUCUCCUGUGAGUCCCCGCCAUAACGCGCUGGCAACACAGAACGAGGGUUGCGCUCGUUGCGGGACUUAACCCAACAUCUCACGACACGAGCUGACGACAACCAUGCACCACCUGCACGCAGACCCGAAGGCACAGCCAUCUCUGACUGCUUCCUGCGCAUGUCAAGCCUUGGUAAGGUUCUUCGCGUUGCAUCGAAUUAAGCCACAUGCUCCGCCGCUUGUGCGGGCCCCCGUCAAUUCCUUUGAGUUUUAGCCUUGCGGCCGUACUCCCCAGGCGGGGAACUUAAUGCGUUAGCUGCGGCGCAGAGAACGUGGAAUGCUCCCCACACCUAGUUCCCACCGUUUACAGCGUGGACUAC
rnacentral:misc_RNA from 1 species